UAGGGAAUCUUCGGCAAUGGGGGGAACCCUGACCGAGCAACGCCGCGUGAGUGAAGAAGGUUUUCGGAUCGUAAAGCUCUGUUGUUAAGGAAGAACGAGUGUGAGAAUGGAAAGUUCAUACUGUGACGGUACUUAACCAGAAAGGGACGGCUAACUACGUGCCAGCAGCCGCGGUAAUACGUAGGUCCCGAGCGUUGUCCGGAUUUAUUGGGCGUAAAGCGAGCGCAGGCGGUUAGAUAAGUCUGAAGUUAAAGGCAGUGGCUCAACCAUUGUAGGCUUUGGAAACUGUUUAACUUGUGUGCAGAAGGGGAGGGUGGAAUUCCAGGUGUAGCGGUGAAAUGCGUAGAUAUAUGGAGGAACACCAGUGGCGAAGGCGACUCUCUGGUCUGUAACUGACGCUGAGGCUCGAAAGCGUGGGUAGCAAACAGG
rnacentral:rRNA from 1 species